UUUAAAGAGAGUUUGAUCCUGGCUCAGGACGAACGCUGGCGGCGUGCCUAAUACAUGCAAGUCGAACGAACGGAGGAAGAGCUUGCUCUUCCAAAGUUAGUGGCGGACGGGUGAGUAACACGUGGGCAACCUGCCUGUAAGUUGGGGAUAACUCCGGGAAACCGGGGCUAAUACCGAAUGAUAAAGUGUGGCGCAUGCCACGCUUUUGAAAGAUGGUUUCGGCUAUCGCUUACAGAUGGGCCCGCGGUGCAUUAGCUAGUUGGUAGGGUAAUGGCCUACCAAGGCAACGAUGCAUAGCCGACCUGAGAGGGUGAUCGGCCACACUGGGACUGAGACACGGCCCAGACUCC
rnacentral:rRNA from 1 species